rnacentral:rRNA from 1 species
CCCGCGGCAAGACGGAAAGACCCCGUGAACCUUUACUAUAGCUUGACACUGAACAUUGAGCCUUGAUGUGUAGGAUAGGUGGGAGGCUUUGAAGCGUGGACGCCAGUCUGCGUGGAGCCGGCCUUGAAAUACCACCCUUUAAUGUUUGAUGUUCUAACGUGGACCCGUGAUCCGGGUUGCGGACAGUGUCUGGUGGGUAGUUUGACUGGGGCGGUCUCCUCCUAAAGAGUAACGGAGGAGCACGAAGGUUGGCUAAUCCUGGUCGGACAUCAGGAGGUUAGUGCAAUGGCAUAAGCCAGCUUGACUGCGAGCGUGACGGCGCGAGCAGGUGCGAAAGCAGGUCAUAGUGAUCCGGUGGUUCUGAAUGGAAGGGCCAUCGCUCAACGGAUAAAAGGUACUCCGGGGAUAACAGGCUGAUACCGCCCAAGAGUUCAUAUCGACGGCGGUGUUUGGCACCUCGAUGUCGGCUCAUCACAUCCUGGGGCUGAAGUAGGUCCCAAGGGUAUGGCUGUUCGCCAUUUAAAGUGGUACGCGAGCUGGGUUUAGAACGUCGUGAGACAGUUCGGUCCCUAUCUGCCGUGGGCGCUGGAGAACUGAGGGGGGCUGCUCCUAGUACGAGAGGACCGGAGUGGACGCAUCACUGGUGUUCGGGUUGUCAUGCCAAUGGCACUGCCCGGUAGCUAAAUGCGGAAGAGAUAAGUGCUGAAAGCAUCUAAGCACGAAACUUGCCCCGA